rnacentral:rRNA from 1 species
UACGUAGGGUGCGAGCGUUAAUCGGAAUUACUGGGCGUAAAGCGUGCGCAGGCGGUUUCGCAAGUCAGAUGUGAAAGCCCCGGGCUCAACCUUGGAAUUGCAUUUGAAACUACGAGGCUAGAGUGUGUCAGAGGGGGGUAGAAUUCCACGUGUAGCAGUGAAAUGCGUAGAGAUGUGGAGGAAUACCGAUGGCGAAGGCAGCCCCCUGGGAUAACACUGACGCUCAUGCACGAAAGCGCGGGGAGCAAACAGG